CGCGAGGAAGAAGGCGGCCACCGAAGAUCUGCGCGAGAACGCCACUGUCCUGUCCGCCCUACGGCGGGGCCCACCCUGCUCAUUAACAGGUUGGUGCACUGGCAUCCUGUAUGGCCCAGUUAUGUUGGCAAGCAGGAACAGCAGGGACUUCAUGCACCUGUACAGGGAAGGAGGGGAAAGCAGCUGAGGCCCCUCGGUUGACCAGACCUUCCCGACCUUCUAACCCAAAGAAGAUCUUCUCAGGAAGAAAACAGCAGUAGACAGCACUGCUCCAGGAAGGAGUCUCUUACCCCUUAUCAGCAAGGCAGCUGCACUCACAAGCAUGGAAUGUCAACCACCACACACUGCCACCUACACUAACAGAACUUAGACUGGAAAGUAAAUGCAGCUCUUUACCUGUAUGUGUCGGAACCCAGCCUAAUCCCAUAAAAGACAUCAGGUAAAUCCCACAGAAGGACUGUGCAUAGAAUACUCUGUCCACUCUUCUACAACCAUCAUGGUAAUCAAAACAAGGAGACUCUGAGACUUUCACAGCCAAGAAGAGCCUAAGGGGCCUUUAUGGUCAAACACAGUGUGAGGUCCCAGAAAAGGA